GCAGAGUAGGCAGUGCGCGUUAGGGUAACACCUUUUAGUGUUGCGGGAUGGGAAGUCGCCCGUAAACGAAUAAUGCAUAUGCAUUUGCGGUGUGCUGCCGCAUCCGCUGC
rnacentral:ncRNA from 1 species